AUUUCAUUUAUUGUGCAGUUCGAAUUGUUGAUUUUUCCCUUUUAAGAUAUUUUUCAAGCGCUCAAAAACGUUGCUACUCAGUUUAAUGGAUAGCGUUAUUCGACUUUCGUGCAACUGAUCUCUUCUUUGGUAAUUUAUUGCUGUAUCCAGCUACAAGUGCGGAAGUGAAUCAGAAUGAUCUCGUGAUGAGCCCAUCCCUUGCAUUUCAAUGAUGUGUACAUUACAAUACGAAGAAAGGCAAAAUUGAAGAAAUAUUUCAAUAUAAAACUGUGACUCUACGUUGUGAAACGAAAAAAUAAGUGUGUGAAUGAAGAAAUAGUCGCUUUGGUCAUAUUUGCUGUAUCCAGUUACAAGUGCGGAAGUGAAUCAGAAUGAUCUCGUGAUGAGCCCAUCCCUUACAUUUCAAUGAUGUGUACAUUACAAUACGAAGAAAGACAAAAUUGAAGAAAUAUUUCAAUAUAAAACUGUGACUCUACGUUGUGGAACGAAAUAAUAAGUGUGGAAAAGAAGAAAUAGUCGUUUUGGUCAUAUUUGGUAUGUGACAUGUAAAGAACUAAAGCAAGCAUAAUUUGGUCGACGAGGUUGUCAUAUAUGAAGUGUUACUUGUAAAACAAAGGUACGUAACAUGUAAAGAACUAAAGCAAGCAUAAUUUUGUCCACAUGAUCGUCGUAUAUGAAGUCUUAUUUCUAAAACAAAGGUAAUUUUACGAAAGUUAACUGAGAUUUUGUAUUUACAUUUCUAACUUAACAAAUUUGAUAACGAAACAUUGCGUAGUAUGAAGUAUAACUAUAAACAAACACAUGUGUAUUUCCAUUCCAAAUGAAAAUCGUUUGAAUGAUUCUAUAAGUGACUUUUAAAGCUAUAUUUAAUACAACGACUGGAAAGCAGGUUUCAUUGUUUGUUUCAAGUUAUCACUAUAAAAAUUGCGGCUCUUACACGAAGGAAAGGUUUAAUAAUAAAUACUUCUGAGUCAGUGAUACGCUUGACAUUCACACAUGCCACGUCAUGUGACAUUUUUUUAAUAUAAAUUAAACUUAAGUUAACAGUACAAUGUACAAAUGUGAAGUAAAGAUUAGGUUCCAGGGGUCAAAAUGAACUCAUGAUAACGUAUAUAUUUUAUCAUCAAUCAUUAUUUUUUAAUAUAAUUACUUUUUAGUAAACAAUACAAUGUAUAAAUGUAAAGUAAAGAUUACGUUCAAGUGGUCAAAGUGAACGUCAGAUAACGUACAUAUUUCAUCAUCAUUCACUUUGCACGUAAUUUAGUCUUAGAUGAACUUUGAUUUAGCAUGUACACUGAGAAACAUAAAUCAAGAUACUUGUUUUGUUUUCGAACGUGUUUAACUUGUUUAGUUACUUGAAUUAAAUCGUGUAACAACACAUAGUCGAGAUAUUUCACUGACUGUCAGGCCUAGGCAAGGGGGCAUUUUGCCUUGUGUCAGUAAUAUAAUAGGGGCCGGCGCCUCCCCAUUUGGACCCAUGAAAAUUGCAAAAUUGAAGUUUAUAGAAAAAGUAA